UACGAAGGGGGCUAGCGUUGUUCGGAAUCACUGGGCGUAAAGGGCGCGUAGGCGGCUGGUCAAGUCGGGGGUGAAAGCCUGUGGCUCAACCACAGAAUUGCCUUCGAUACUGGACGGCUGGAGACCGGAAGAGGUCAGUGGAACUGCGAGUGUAGAGGUGAAAUUCGUAGAUAUUCGCAAGAACACCAGUGGCGAAGGCGGCUGACUGGUCCGGUUCUGACGCUGAGGCGCGAAAGCGUGGGGAGCAAACAGG
rnacentral:rRNA from 1 species